AGCGCGGCGAUCGCGGCGAGCGCGGCGACAGGGACAGGGAGCGCCGCGGGGACCGGCGCGAGCGCGCCAACUGGCGAGGACGGCUUCGACCCGGACGCGGUGCGGGUGAAGCAGGAGCCGGACGACGACUACCCCGAGUACCCGAGCUACGGCGGCCAGAACCCGCCGCUCAAGGACGAGGACAAGAAGCCGCGCGACCUGCAGCCGCCGCCGCCGCCGCCGCCACCCCCGCCGCCGCCGCCGCCGCACGACUCCAACGGCGCCGGGUAUGGUCAGCACCGCCAGGACGAGGGCGAGAUAGAUUACUGACCCCCCGCCGCCGCCGCCGCCGCCGCCGCCGCCAGGCUAGCGCCGAGGGCGGAAGCCAGGCGUGUCUGCCGUCAGCGCAGAGUUUCGGUACGUGUUUACACGGGAGAUGUUCUCGCACGGUUUGGUUCGCUCGCGCGGCCUCGGUUUUCAUCAGUCCAUGGGUGCGUUUGCUGCUAGCCGAGACGCGCUCUCGUGCUGUGGGCAGUGCGCGCGGCCUCGGGCGGCGCCGGAGGCCGUGGCGUCGCCGCAGUCGACCGCCGAGUCCGGUGUAGGCCACCGACGACUCGCGCCGCAGACUGCGUUUGGUUUCAUCAAUAAACUGCAGAAUCCUAA